rnacentral:rRNA from 1 species
CCUACGGGGGGCAGCAGUGGGGAAUAUUGGACAAUGGGCGAAAGCCUGAUCCAGCCAUGCCGCGUGUGUGAAGAAGGCCUUCGGGUUGUAAAGCACUUUCAGUGGGGAAGAAAGCCUUGGGGCUAAUGCCCUCGAGGAAGGACAUCACCCACAGAAGAAGCACCGGCUAACUCCGUGCCAGCAGCCGCGGUAAUACGGAGGGUGCGAGCGUUAAUCGGAAUUACUGGGCGUAAAGCGCGCGUAGGCGGUCUGAUAAGCCGGUUGUGAAAGCCCCGGGCUCAACCUGGGAACGGCAUCCGGAACUGUCAGGCUAGAGUGCAGGAGAGGAAGGUAGAAUUCCCGGUGUAGCGGUGAAAUGCGUAGAGAUCGGGAGGAAUACCAGUGGCGAAGGCGGUCUUCUGGACUGACACUGACGCUGAGGUGCGAAAGCGUGGGUAGCAAACAGGAUUAGAUACCCCGGUAGUC